rnacentral:ncRNA from 1 species
GGCCGGAUCAGGCGUUUACGCCGCAUCCGGCAUUAGGUGCCAGUGCCUGAUGCGAUGCUUACGCAUCUUAUCAGGCC